rnacentral:tRNA from 1 species
GGGCUCGUAGCUCAGCUGGUAGAGCGCGUGCAUGGCAUGCAUGAGGUCGCAGGUUCAAGCCCUGUCGAGUCCA